GGUGCUAUAGCCUAAAGGUAAGGCCGGGGUUUCAUAAACCUUUAAAUCCCGGUUCGAGUCCGGGUAGCACCUCCA
rnacentral:tRNA from 1 species